UAGGAGUGUGUUUCAUCCCCUGAGACCCUCUCAGACAGUGAGGUUACAGAUCAGCCACGUGUGGUGGCCAGUGGGAGUGUGUUUCAUCCCCCUGAGACCCUCUCAGACAGUGAGGUUACAGAUCAGCCACGUGUGGAGGCCAGUAGGAGUGUGUUUCAUCCCCUGAGACCCUCUCAGACAGUGAGGUUACAGAUCAGCCACGUGUGGUGGCCAGUAGGAGUGUGUUUCACAUGUUUCCCAUGACAAUAAAGCCCCUUGGAUUGAAUUAAGAGAGAGAGAGAGAGAGACAGACACACAGAGAGAGACACAGAGAGAGACACAGAGAGAGAGAGAGAGACACAGAGAGAGAGACACACAGAGAGAGACACACAGAGAGAGACACAGAGAGAGACACAGAGAGAGAGAGAGAGAGAGAGAGAGAGAGACACAGAGAGAGAGACACAGAGAGAGACACAGAGAGAGAGACACAGAGAGAGACACAGAGAGAGAGAGAGAGAGACACACAGAGAGAGAGACACAGAGAGAGACACACAGAGAGACAGAGAGAGAGAGACACACAGAGAGAGACACACAGAGAGAGACACACAGAGAGAGACACAGAGAGAGAGAGAGAGAGAGAGAGAGAGAGAGAGAGAGAGAGAGAGAAAGAGAGGGAGAGAGAGAGAGAGAGAGAGAGAGAGAGAGAGAGAGAGGGAGAAAGAGAGGGAGAGAGAGAGAGAGAUAGGGAGAAAGAGAGGGAGAGAGAGGAAGAAAGUAUAGUGGAGUAACUUGUUAAAGGUCUGUGUGUGUCUGCACCUGUAUAACUCCUGGAACACUAACAACUGGUCCUUCCAUUAAACCAGUUGUGCUUUACAAACUAUCCCUCUGAUACACUGAGUAGGCAGCCUUUCCCUUUAACAAACUGGAACUGGUUUAUACUGUGUAACACAGUGAGGGGAAUAGACAAACACUACAGCUUGGUUGGAGGUAGAAACCAGAGCUGUGUUACCCCCUGUCUUUGACCCUGUGUGAUUAAGUCCCUGAUACAUGCAUACCAUUACUCAACCUCUAUUUCUAGUCCUUCCUCUCUCUCUCUCUCUCUCUCUCUCUCUCUCUCUCUCUCUCCUCUUUCUCUCUCUCUCUCUCUCUCCUUUCAGGCCCUCUCUGUGUGUGUUUGUGUUGGCAACAGCCUCUUAAGUGCGGUAGGUAAAAUCCCUACAUCCAACAAGCCUGCCAAGAAAGCCACACACACACACACACACGUGCGGGCACGCCAAACACACAAAGAGAGAAGGAGAGCCAAGAAAGCUUCACUCAGCUCAACCUCAGGGGGGAGAAGCUUUAGAAAACCCCAGGUCCUUUCUCCUCCCACACAAUAAGAUGUGCUGCUGUUACUGUACGUUAGUCGUUGUUAUCAUGCAGCUCUUACUAAUAUACUGUGUCUGAAAGGAGGAUCACAUUUACAUAUCUGGUUUACUUUAGGCCAGAGAAUGUUCCCACAGGAAAAACAACGCUGUUUUACAGGAGUCGGCAGCUCUUCCUCAGUUCAUGCUACUCUACUGUAAUGUUUACAUUAGUUAGUUAGUUUGUUAGUUUACACUAGAAAGGGCCGAUCUUAGAGAUGUCCUAACUUGAGGGGUCAUGACCCCACUCUCCCAUCUGGGAUACAUUCUCAAAGACUUUCUGCCUUACCCUUUCUAUCUUUCUAUUUCCCUCUCUCCUUCUCUCUCAUGAGAAUGCAGUCUCCUCUCGCUCUCUUCCAUUCACCCCUUUCUCCCUUUCUCUCAUCCUCCUUCUUUCUCCUUCUCUCUCAUCCUCCUUCUUUCCCUCUCCUUUUACCCCUUUUCGCUCCCUAUUUUUCUGUCCUCUCUACUAUUCUCAUCUCCCUCUCUGUCUCCUUCUUUCCCCUUCUCUCAGGGUAGUUCGGUCAGUCAGAGGUCUGGUUGUCAUUAGCUUCCUGUUACUGACUUAAAGAAAAACAGCCCCGACAGAGAGAGAGAGGGACGUACGGACAGACAGACAGAGAGAGAGAGAGAGAGAGAGAGAGAGGGAGGGACGGAAGGACAGAGGAUGAGAGAGAGAGGGAGAGAGAGAGCAAAAGAGGGAGGUCAGGGAGAGACAGAGAGAGACAGAGAUGGAGAGAGAGGGAGAGAGAGCAAGAGAGGGAGAGGAAGAGCAAGAGAGAGGGAGAGGAAGAGCAAGAGAGGGAGAGGAAGAGCAAGAGAGAGGGAGAGGAAGAGCAAGAGAGAGGGAGAGGAAGGAAGAGAGAGAGAGAGAG
ensembl:lncRNA